CGGAGGAAAAGAAACCAACAGGGAUUGCCCUAGUAACGGCGAGUGAAGCGGCAACAGCUCAAAUUUGAAAGCUGGCUCCGGCCCGCAUUGUAAUUUGCAGAGGAUGCUUCUGGUGAGGUGCCUUCCGAGUUCCCUGGAACGGGACGCCAUAGAGGGUGAGAGCCCCGUAUGGAUGGACACCAAACCUGUGUGAAGCUCCUUCAACGAGUCGAGUAGUUUGGGAAUGCUGCUCUAAAUGGGAGGUAAAUCUCUUCUAAAGCUAAAUACCGGCCAGAGACCGAUAGCGCACAAGUAGAGUGAUCGAAAGAUGAAAAGCACCUUGAAAAGGGGGUUAAACAGUACGUGAAAUUGUUGAAAGGGAAGCGCUUGUGACCAGACUUGCGCCGGGCAGCUCAUCAGGGGUUCUCCCCUGUGCACUCUGCCCGGCUCAGGCCAGCAUCGGUUCUCGUGGGAGGAUAAGAACGGUAGGAACGUGGCCCCCUUCCGGGGGGGUGUUAUAGCCUACCGUACGAUACUCCCGUGGGGACCGAGGUUCGCGCUCCGCAAGGAUGCUGGCGUAAUGGUCAUCAGCGACCCGUCUU
rnacentral:rRNA from 1 species